CCCAAAGAGAGGCCAGGACAACUUCCGGGAGAACCCGGGCUUCCAGCACCACAGCGGUGGCGGGGCGGGGCGGGACGGAAUGCCCUGACCCCGGAAGUUCUUCCAUAGAGUGUGGGUGGGACGGAAACCAGGAACGACGUGGCUUUAAACGGGGGUGCAAAUAUUUCCGGCUUGGAAGCAGAAGAGAGUGAAGGAGAAAGGUUCUGACGGAAAUAGAAAUGCCCCUACCGGAAGUCUUUUCUUUAACAUCAGUAACUUUAUUGUUACGUAUUGUUAUAAUUAUUGACAACUGCCGUAGACUAAUCUCUACAAUCUCAGAUAUAAGAUUGAAUUCUGUGAAGACAAUGCCCCAGAUGUUAUCCUUCAAGUGCCAAAUGUGGUGAUGAGCUUUUCCCUGAAUCACUGGACACUAUAACAGAUACAAUUACAGUGUUAAUUUCCUACUACAAUUCUCAUAGUAUCUUUAUUCAAGUGUUGGUAAUUGUUUCAUAAAUCAUUCGAAUUGAUACAAUAAACACUUCUAUUGCCUAUGUCCAUAA